UACGGAGGGUGCAAGCGUUAUCCGGAAUCAUUGGGUUUAAAGGGUGCGCAGGCGGAAUUUUAAGUCAGUGGUGAAAUCCCUUCGCUUAACGAAGGAACUGCCAUUGAUACUGAAAUUCUUGAAUUUGGUUGGCGUGGGCGGAAUGUGCCAUGUAGCGGUGAAAUGCUUAGAUAUGGCACAGAACACCGAUCGCGAAGGCAGCUCACGAAACCAUUAUUGACGCUCAGGCACGAAAGCAUGGGGAGCAAACAGG
rnacentral:rRNA from 1 species